AUUGAACGCUGGCGGCAGGCUUAACACAUGCAAGUCGAGCGGGGGAAGGUAGCUUGCUACCGGACCUAGCGGCGGACGGGUGAGUAAUGCUUAGGAAUCUGCCUAUUAGUGGGGGACAACAUCUCGAAAGGGAUGCUAAUACCGCAUACGUCCUACGGGAGAAAGCAGGGGAUCACUUGUGACCUUGCGCUAAUAGAUGAGCCUAAGUCGGAUUAGCAAGUUGGUGGGGUAAAGGCCUACCAAGGCGACGAUCUGUAGCGGGUCUGAGAGGAUGAUCCGCCACACUGGGACUGAGACACGGCCCAGACUCCUACGGGAGGCAGCAGUGGGGAAUAUUGGACAAUGGGGUGAACCCUGAUCCAGCCAUGCCGCGUGUGUGAAGAAGGCCUUAUGGUUGUAAAGCACUUUAAGCGAGGAGGAGGCUCUUUUGGUUAAUACCCAAGAUGAGUGGACGUUACUCGCAGAAUAAGCACCGGCUAACUCUGUGCCAGCAGCCGCGGUAA
rnacentral:rRNA from 1 species